rnacentral:rRNA from 1 species
GACGAACGCUGGCGGCGUGCUUAACACAUGCAAGUCGAACGAUGAAGAAGAGAAACGCGAACUUCGGUUCAAAUUUCACUUCGGAUUAGUGGCAGACGGGUGAGUAACGCGUGAGCAACCUACCUCUUACAAAGGGAUAGCCUCGGGAAACCGUGAUUAAUACCAUAUGACACAUUCAUAAGGCAUCUUAAGAAUGUUAAAGCUACGGCGGUAAGAGAUGGGCUCGCGUCCCAUUAGCUAGUUGGUGAGGUAACGGCCCACCAAGGCGACGAUGGGUAACCGGCCUGAGAGGGUGAACGGUCACAUUGGAACUGAGACACGGUCCAAACUCCUACGGGAGGCAGCAGUGGGGAAUAUUGCACAAUGGAGGGAACUCUGAUGCAGCGACGCCGCGUGAGCGAUGAGGGAAUUCGUGUCGUAAAGCUCUGUUCUAUGGGAAGAAAAGGACUGUACCAUAGGAGAAAGCCCCGGCUAAAUACGUG